rnacentral:rRNA from 1 species
UACAGAGGGUGCAAGCGUUGUUCGGAAUUACUGGGCGUAAAGGGCGCGUAGGCGGCCUGUUAAGUCGGACGUGAAAUCCCCGGGCUCAACCCGGGAACUGCGUCCGAUACUGGCAGGCUUGAAUUCGGGAGAGGGAUGUGGAAUUCCAGGUGUAGCGGUGAAAUGCGUAGAUAUCUGGAGGAACACCGGUGGCGAAGGCGGCAUCCUGGACCGAUACUGACGCUGAUGCGCGAAAGCCAGGGGAGCAAACGGG